rnacentral:rRNA from 1 species
UACGAAGGGGGCUAGCGUUGCUCGGAAUCACUGGGCGUAAAGCGCACGUAGGCGGACUCUUAGUCGGUGGUGAAAUCCCAGAGCUCAACUCUGGAACUGCCUUUGAUACUGGGUAUCUCGAGUAUGGAAGAGGUGAGUGGAAUUCCGAGUGUAGAGGUGAAAUUCGUAGAUAUUCGGAGGAACACCAGUGGCGAAGGCGGCUCACUGGUCCAUUACUGACGCUGAGGUGCGAAAGCGUGGGGAGCAAACAGG